rnacentral:rRNA from 1 species
UAGCUCACUAGUCGAGAGGUCCUGCGCCGAAAAUGUCCGGGGCUGAAACACACUACCGAAGCUUAGGAAUUGAUGAAUGUCAAUUGGUAGAGGAGCAUUCUUACCGAGACGAAGCUGUACCGGAAGGAGCAGUGGAUUGGUAAGAAGAGAGAAUGCCGGAAUGAGUAGCGAGAGGAAGGUGAGAAUCCUUCCGGCCGAAUAUCUAAGGUUUCCAGAG